rnacentral:rRNA from 1 species
UACAUGGGGUGCAAACGUUGCUCGGAAUUAUUGGGCGUAAAGCGCGCGUAGGCGGUUAAUUAUGUCGGAUGUGAAAGCCCUCGGCUUAACUGAGGAAGUGCAUUCGAAACUGGGUAGCUAGAGUACUAAAGAGGGUCGCGGAAUUCCCGGUGUAGAGGUGAAAUUCGUAGAUAUCGGGAGGAACACCGGUGGCGAAGGCGGCGACCUGGGUAGAUACUGACGCUGAGGCGCGAAAGCGUGGGGAGCAAACAGG